rnacentral:SRP_RNA from 1 species
GCUGGGCAUGGUGGUGCACACCUGUAAUCCAAGCUACUUGGGAGGCUGAGGUAGGAGGAUCACUUGAGCCUGGGAGGUGAAGGUUGCAGUGAACCGAGAUUGUGCCACUGCACUCCAGACUGGGUGACAGAGUGAGAUCCUGUAUCAAAAAANNNNNNNNNNUUUUUUGAUACAGGAUCUCACUCUGUCACCCAGUCUGGAGUGCAGUGGCACAAUCUCGGUUCACUGCAACCUUCACCUCCCAGGCUCAAGUGAUCCUCCUGCCUCAG